CCACUUACAAUCUCAUGCAAGCGGACAUUGCAUUAGCUUCACAGGUAUCUCUGCAGGCUAUCUCCACUCAGUUAUUUAAGUUCUCAUUUCUUCACCACCCGAACAACACAAAUAAAGGGAAAGACGUCACCGAAAGUUAUGGCCAACUGCAGCUGGGAACAACGUUGGAGGACAAAUUUAUAAAUCUUAAUUGUGCGAUUGGC